UGUCCCACAGUUCCCCGCCCUGGAACAAGGAACUGGUAUCAGGCACAAACACGCAGCCCAUGACACCUUGCUUAGCCACACCCUCAAGGGAACUCAGCAGUGAUAAACAUUAAGCCAUAAGUGAAAACUUGACUUAAUUAAAGCUAAGAGGGCCGGUAAAACUCGUGCCAGCCACCGCGGUUAUACGAGAGGCCCAAAUUGAUACCCGUUGGCGUAAAGCGUGGUUAGGUUUAAACUUACACUAAAGCCAAAUAUCUUCAAGACUGUUAUACGUGCACGAAGACAAGAAGUUCAACUACGAAAGUGGCUUUAUUUAUUCUGAACCCACGAAAGCUAAGAUACAAACUGGGAUUAGAUACCCCACUAUGCCUAGCCCUAAACAUUGAUAGUGUUCUACACCCACUAUCCGCCAGGGAACUACAAGCAAUAGCUUAAAACCCAAAGGACUUGGCGGUGCUUUAGAUCCACCUAGAGGAGCCUGUUCUGGAACCGAUAACCCCCGUUCAACCUCACCCUUCCUUGUUCUUCCCGCCUAUAUACCGCCGUCGUCAGCUUACCCUGUGAAGGUUUAAUAGUGAGCAAAACUGGCACAGCCCAGGACGUCAGGUCGAGGUGUAGCGUAUGGAGGGGGAAGAAAUGGGCUACAUUCGCUACCACAGCGAACACGAAACGUGUAAUGAAACGUACAUCUGAAGGAGGAUUUAGCAGUAAGCAG
rnacentral:rRNA from 1 species